rnacentral:rRNA from 1 species
UACGUAGGGUGCGAGCGUUGUCCGGAAUUAUUGGGCGUAAAGAGCUCGUAGGCGGUCCGUUACGUCUGCCGUGAAAACCCGGGGCUCAACCCCGGGCCUGCGGUGGAUACGGGCGGACUAGAGUCCGGCAGGGGAGACUGGAAUUCCUGGUGUAGCGGUGGAAUGCGCAGAUAUCAGGAGGAACACCGGUGGCGAAGGCGGGUCUCUGGGCCGGAACUGACGAUGAGGAGCGAAAGCGUGGGGAGCGAACAGG